CAGUAGCCGCGGUAAUACAGAGGGUGCGAGCGUUAAUCGGAUUUACUGGGCGUAAAGCGUGCGUAGGCGGCUUCUUAAGUCGGAUGUGAAAUCCCUGAGCUUAACUUAGGAAUUGCAUUCGAUACUGGGAAGCUAGAGUAUGGGAGAGGAUGGUAGAAUUCCAGGUGUAGCGGUGAAAUGCGUAGAGAUCUGGAGGAAUACCGAUGGCGAAGGCAGCCAUCUGGCCUAAUACUGACGCUGAGGUACGAAAGCAUGGGGAGCAAACAGGAUUAGAUACCCCUGUAGUCCCUGUCUCUUAACC
rnacentral:rRNA from 1 species